UAGGGAAUCUUCCGCAAUGGACGCAAGUCUGACGGAGCAACGCCGCGUGAGUGAAGAAGGAUUUCGGUUCGUAAAACUCUGUUGUUAGAGAAGAACAGCGCAUAGAGUAACUGUUAUGCGUGUGACGGUAUCUAACCAGAAAGCCACGGCUAACUACGUGCCAGCAGCCGCGGUAAUACGUAGGUGGCAAGCGUUGUCCGGAUUUAUUGGGCGUAAAGCGAGCGCAGGCGGUCAAUUAAGUCUGAUGUGAAAGCCCCCGGCUCAACCGGGGAGGGUCAUUGGAAACUGUUUGACUUGAGUGCAGAAGAGGUGAGUGGAAUUCCAUGUGUAGCGGUGAAAUGCGUAGAUAUAUGGAGGAACACCAGUGGCGAAGGCGACUCUCUGGUCUGUAACUGACGCUGAGGCUCGAAAGCGUGGGUAGCAAACAGG
rnacentral:rRNA from 1 species